rnacentral:rRNA from 1 species
UGAGUACGAGACGCUAAGGCGUCGAAGUAGUGUAUGUCAUACUUCCAAGAAAAGCUUGCACUGUCAUUCAUAAAAAAUGCCUGUACCAUAACCGACACAGGUGGGUAGGUAGAGUAUACUAAGGGGCGCGAGAUAACUCUCUCUAAGGAACUCGGCAAAAUAACUCCGUAACUUCGGGAGAAGGAGUGCCUUAUUUAUAUAAGGUUGCAAUAACAAGAUCCAAGCAACUGUUUACCAAAAACACAGGUCUCCGCUAAGUCGCAAGACGAUGUAUGGGGGCUGACGCCUGCCCAGUGCCAGAAGGUUAAAGAAGUUGGUUAGCAAUAGCGAAGCUAGUAACUGAAGCCCUGGUGAACGGCGGCCGUAACAAUAACGGUCCUAAGGUAGCGAAAUUCCUUGUCGGGUAAGUUCCGACCCGCACGAAAGGCGUAAUGAUUUGGAUACUGUCUCGGAGAGGGACUCGGUGAAAUAGACUUGUCUGUGAAGAUGCGGACUACCUGCACCAGGACAGAAAGACCCUAUGAAGCUUUACUGUAACUUGAAAUUGAAAUUGGACUUUAUUCGCGCAGUAUAGGUGGGAGGCAUUGAAAAUAAUCUUGCGGGAAUAUUGGAGCCAUCAGUGAGAUACCACUCUUGUAAUGUUAGAUUUCUAACUUUGAAUCAUUAUCUGGUCAAAGAACAGUUUCAGGCGGGCAGUUUGACUGGGGCGGUCGCCUCCCAAAUGGUAACGGAGGCGUACAAAGGUUUCCUCUGAACGGGUAGAAAUCGUAUCUAGAGUGUAAAGGCAAAAGGAAGCUUGACUGUGAGACCUACAAGUCGAGCAGGGACGAAAGUCGGUCUUAGUGAUCUGACGGUACUGAGUGGAAAGGCCGUCACUCAACGGAUAAAAGUUACUCUAGGAUAACAGGCUGAUCUCCCCCAAGAGUUCACAUCGACGGGGAGGUUUGGCACCUGAUGUCGGCUCAUCGCAUCCUGGGGCGGUAGUACGUCCCAAGGGUUGGGCUGUUCGCCCAUGAAAGCGGUACGCGAGCUGGGUUCAGAACGUCGUGAGACAGUUCGGUCCAUAUCCGGUGUAGGCGUUAGAAUAUUGAGAGGAGCCUUCUUUAGUACGAGAGGACCGAGAAGGACAUACCUCUGGUGUACCAGUUAUCGUGCCAACGGUAAACGCUGGGUAGCUAUGUAUGGAGUGGAUAACCGCUGAAAGCAUCUAAGUGGGAAGCCCACCUCAAGAUGAG